CCUACGGGAGACUGCAGUGGGGAAUAUUGGGCAAUGGGCGCAAGCCUGACCCAGCAACGCCGCGUGAAGGAAGAAGGCUUUCUGGUUUUAAACUUCUUUUAAUCGGGAAGAGCAGAAGACGGUACCUCUUGAAUAAGCCACGGCUAACUACGUGCCAGCAGCCGCGGCAAUACGUAGGGGGCAAGCCUUGUCCGGAUUUACGGGGUGUAAAGGGCGUGCAGCCGGGAAGACAAGUCAGGUGUGAAAUCCCGCGGCUCAAACGCGGAACAGCAUUUGAAACUGUUUUUCUUGAGUACCGGAGAAGUACUCGGAAUUCGUGGUGUAGCGGUGAAAUGCGUAGAUAUAAGGAAGAACACCAGUGGCGAAGGCGGAUGACUGGAGGGCGACUGACGGUGAGGCGCGAAAGCGUGGGGAGCAAACAGGAUUAGAUACCCCUGUAGUC
rnacentral:rRNA from 1 species